rnacentral:sRNA from 1 species
UGGCGGCCGGGAGUCCCGGAAUGGCUGCCUGGACGUGGAGAAGGACUGUUCCAUCACCAAGUUCCUGAACCGCAUCCUGGGGCUGGAGGUGCACAAGCAGAACGCCCUGUUCCAGUACUUCUCAGACACCUUCGACCACCUCAUCGAGAUGGACAAGCGGGAGGGCAAAUAUGACAUGGGCAUCCUGGACCUUGCUCCCGGUAUCGAGGAGAUCUACGAGGAGAGCCAGCAGGUGUUCCUGGCUCCCGGGCACCCGCAGGACGGGCAGGUGGUCUUCUACAAGGUCAGCAGGAAGCCCCACAGCCCCUCACACUCUGCCCACCCCGCCCCCACCACACUCACACCCCCCCACCCCGUGCCGUGGCAGAUCAGCGUGGACCGCGGCCUGAAGUGGGAGGACGCCUUUGCCAAGUCGCUGGAGCUGACGGGCCCCUAUGACGGCUUCUACCUCUCCUACAAGGUGGG